UACGUAGGGUGCGAGCGUUGUCCGGAAUUAUUGGGCGUAAAGAGCUCGUAGGCGGUCUGUCGCGUCUGGUGUGAAAACUCAAGGCUUAACCUUGGGCCUGCAUCGGGUACGGGCAGACUAGAGUGCGGUAGGGGAGACUGGAAUUCCUGGUGUAGCGGUGAAAUGCGUAGAUAUCGAGAGGAACACCUGCGGCGAAGGCGGGUAGCUGGGCCGACACUGACGCUGAGGCGCGAAAGCGUGGGGAGCAAACGGG
rnacentral:rRNA from 1 species